rnacentral:lncRNA from 1 species
ACCUUAUAACAUUCUUAAACCAUACCAUCUUCCACCUCUCACAAAACCAGAUUUUUCAAUGCGAGAAAUCAUCGCAACUCAACAAUUAUUUCUCAUAACAUUAUGUCUCUCUAAUGCAUCCUAUGUACCCAUUUUUUCAAUUCUUUUGCUCUCUCUUUUCUUUUCUUUUUUUUCUUUUCUCCACCAUUCUUUUUUUUUCAACAACUUGUAGGGUACUAGGAUUUUCAAUUUGAAACCACAAAACAUAACUCAUGAUCAUUCAUCUCCACAAACCAACUAUUCCAUAUUAACAAUUUCCAAGCUCUCACCCAUAGCUAAAUCAAAGAAUAUGGAAAAAUAAGGCUCAAAGGGGUUGAAC